AGAGUUUGAUCCUGGCUCAGGAUGAACGCUGGCGGCGUGCCUAACACAUGCAAGUCGAGCGAUUCUCUUCGGAGAAGAGCGGCGGACGGGUGAGUAACGCGUGGGUAACCUGCCCUGUACACACGGAUAACAUACCGAAAGGUAUGCUAAUACGGGAUAAUAUAUAAGAGUCGCAUGACUUUUAUAUCAAAGAUUUUUCGGUACAGGAUGGACCCGCGUCUGAUUAGCUUGUUGGCGGGGUAACGGCCCACCAAGGCGACGAUCAGUAGCCGACCUGAGAGGGUGAUCGGCCACAUUGGAACUGAGACACGGUCCAAACUCCUACGGGAGGCAGCAGUGGGGAAUAUUGCACAAUGGGCGCAAGCCUGAUGCAGCAACGCCGCGUGAGCGAUGAAGGCCUUCGGGUCGUAAAGCUCUGUCCUCAAGGAAGAUAAUGACGGUACUUGAGGAAGAAGCCCCGGCUAACUACGUGCCAGCAGCCGCGGUAAUACGUAGGGGGCUAGCGUUAUCCGGAUUUACUGGGCGUAAAGGGUGCGUAGGCGGUCUUUCAAGUCAGGAGUUAAAGGCUACGGCUCAACCGUAGUAAGCUCCUGAUACUGUCUGACUUGAGUGCAGGAGAGGAAAGCGGAAUUCCCAGUGUAGCGGUGAAAUGCGUAGAUAUUGGGAGGAACACCAGUAGCGAAGGCGGCUUUCUGGACUGUAACUGACGCUGAGGCACGAAAGCGUGGGGAGCAAACAGGAUUAGAUACCCUGGUAGUCCACGCUGUAAACGAUGAGUACUAGGUGUCGGAGGUUACCCCUUUCGUGCCGCAGCUAA
rnacentral:rRNA from 1 species